GCCGGCAUAGCUCAGAUGGUAGAGCAACUGACUUGUAAUCAGUAGGUCCCGAGUUCGAUUCUUGGUGUCGGCACCA
rnacentral:tRNA from 1 species